CCUACGGGCGGCAGCAGUGAGGAAUAUUGGUCAAUGGCCGCAAGCCUGAACCAGCCAAGUAGCGUGAAGGAAGAAGGACCUAUGGGUUGUAAACUUCUUUUAUAGGGGAAUAAAGGUAUGCACGUGUGGAUAUUUGCAUGUACCCUAUGAAUAAGCAUCGGCUAACUCCGUGCCAGCAGCCGCGGUAAUACGGAGGAUGCGAGCGUUAUCCGGAUUUAUUGGGUUUAAAGGGAGCGUAGGUUGGUUGUUAAGUCAGCGGUGAAAGUUUGUGGCUCAACCGUAAAAUUGCCAUUGAUACUGGAAGACUUGAGUAUAGUUGAGGUAGGCGGAAUUCGUGGUGUAGCGGUGAAAUGCUUAGAUAUCACGAUGAACUCCGAUUGCGAAGGCAGCUUACUAAGC
rnacentral:rRNA from 1 species